rnacentral:lncRNA from 1 species
ACACACAUAAAAGGGAACCUUAAAUUGGAACAAAUUUCACAAUUUUUCACUCAUAUCACAAAAGACCACAGAAUAAGUGAGAUUGAUAGUGAUUAAUAGUUCAACAUACAAGACAAAUUAUUGCACAGAUUAAAGCAAUCAGCCAAUCACCAAUAGAAGCUUUAUAGUACAACACGCAUAGACUUGCUCUGCCCAACAAAGAUGUCUUUGUAAAACUACAACAUCCAAAAUUAAAAGAUAUCCAUAAUUAUAACAAUCAUUAAAAAGAAAUUGUUUACAUCUAAAAAUAUAUCUCUAAUAUCAUCUCAAGAAAAAAAAAAUUCUAAAACACAAAUUAAUCAUCAUCUUCAUCCAUGAUUGUGAGUUGGAGCCGUGAGUCAUGACUUGAAGAACCACCUAGUAAAAAAAAAACCACAACAAAAAUAUAAGUAACUUUACUAAAUAUUUUAACAUAAAACCAUUCAUAAAAUUGAUAAUAUUAUAAAUUGGUUACCUAUCAUUUCUUUCCAUAACCAACUUUGAGCACACAUUAAGGCCUCCAAAGUGUCUAAAUGAAACCUGCUAUGAUAUUUUGAUACCAUCUUACCACUCAUACUAAAUGUCAACUCUGAUGUAAUUGUAGAUACUAGAAUAGCAUAGAUAUCUCGAAUAAUCAUCUACAAUGUCAAAUAUCUUAUACCAUUUGUCUUCCAUCAACUCAAAACAUCAUAAUCUGAAGUCUUUGGUAAAAUAGACUCCUCUAAGUAAUUCUAUAACUCCAACUUCAUAUGACUUUCUCCAAUGGUACUAUGAACAAAUAAUUUAAACCUAGAAAGAGGAUCUUGCUCAUCAUAAUUCAACUCCAAAAGAGUUUAACCUGAUGAAGUACCAUGUGAUGAAGUUUAUUGACCUAACUUAGACUUUGAUUGGCACUCAAAAAGCAACUCAUAACGUAUUUGACAAGCUUUUUCUAUCUCAUUUGAAGCUUCAAACUCAUACAUUAUUUGGAAGUAAAACUCUAAAAUUUUCAUUUUGUAUCUUAGGUCAAAUAUAGUUGCAAUUGUCAUCACAAUAUGACACCCACUCCAAUACUUGUCAAAUUUUUGCAACAUACUUGAAGUCAUCAUUCUCACAACAUCAUUUGAGCAAAUCAACUAAUCAUACAAUGUCUUUUUUAUCUCACACACUUUGAUGAAGAAAGUAUUAGUAGUGGGAUAAUUUCAUCUCACAACAUCAUUUGAGCAAAUCAACUAAUCAUACAAUGUCUUUUUUAUCUCACACACUUUGAUGAAGAAAGUAUUAGUAGUGGGAUAAUUUCAUCAUGAGAACAACUAUGUUAUAUUAUAAACAAUUUCAAUCUUCCACAUAUUUCUUUUGACAUAUUCCAUUCUUCCUCUAAUGGCACAAAUAUGUAGUGUUUCUCACAUUGCUUUAAAUGUGGGAAUACGUCUUCAUAUGUUAUAGUUAUUGAUAACAUCAAGUAUAUAUGUAAAAUUCCAUCAUGUUUUUCAAUCAAGACUUAACUUCUUAUUACAUGGAAUAUGCAAUUGGUGAGCCACAUCUCCAAACUUUUCCACUUUUGAUGGUGUUGCCAACUAAUAUACAACACUCUCACGAAUUUUUUCAAUUUCUACUCCAAUGACAUCCAAACCUUCCUUCACAAUUAAGUUCAAGACAUGUGUCGCACAUCGCAUGUGAAAAUUUUUUUAAUUCAAUAAAAGUGAACCGCUCAAAGAUAAUUUCUCCACAAGGAUAUUAAGCAUUUCAUCAUUACUUGAGCAAUUAUCCACGAUAAUUGUAGAUACAUUUCUACCCAUAUUCCAAUCCAAUAAGAAAUCUAUUAGAACAUCUAAAAGAACUUUUGUGUGUGGAGGAAACACAUAAACAAACCUACAGUAAAUAAAUAUAAAAAAACAUAUAAUUAAUACAAGCGAUAUCAUUAAAGGAUCGAAUAAAAAAACACUUAUGAAGUUUAAUUGCUAACCUUACAAUAUGAUAUUGUAAUAACCAAGACUCGUCAAUGUAAUGUACAGUGAUAGUCAUGUAGCCUUUCUUCUAAUUGGAUAUCUACAUAUGUUGUAAUGGCAAUUCUACUUUCAAGUUUCUCUAAGUAGCUAAUCAUUUUCCCUUUCUCAACCUCAUAAAUCUUCAGUAUGACACCCUUAAAUUGUAUUACAGAAAACCAUCUUAAAUAAAGAUUGGAGAAUAGUAGCAAAAUCUCUAAAUCUCACAUGGUCAAUAAUUGAAAGUGCGUACUCAUGCAAUAUAAUUGCACAUGCAAGCUUCUCUCUUGAGAUAUCUUGAUCAAAAGUAAAACCACCAAUUUGAACUUUUCCAUGACCUUUUCUCUCUACUACUAAUAAUUGUUGCCUAAUAUCAACAUUUCUUUAUUUCAUACACCUAGCUAUGUGUAUAAGCAAAUGUUUUGUUUCAUUCUUACUAUCAACCUUGAGUUUUUCUUUACAAUGCUUAUAAAUAGCAUAAUUUUAUCCAUCUACUAUGACUUUCUCAAAAUCAUUUCAAACAACUUAUGUCAACUUUCCUUUUUUAGAUGCCAAUGUUUCAUUAGUAGUUGAAGUACUACUUAUAACUGGAUUUGAACUAGCACUUGCAAUGGAAAAAAAUUUCCCUUCUUUGGAUGUCAUUUUUUUUUAAUAUGAAAUAAAACCUAUAAUUAAAACAUUCAAACUGGUCACAUUCUAACCAAUCAAUGGCUCUUAUUUACAUUCAAACCAACCCAUGUAAAUCCCACACAGAUAAGCCUUUGUUACCUUGAAAUAAUCUUAUAUAAGUGUUACAAAAGAACGAAAACAAGCAAUAAGAAACAAACAGAAUAAGAACACACAUUUAAGUGAAAAACCCUAGAUGAGGAAAACCAUGGACAGAGGAGAAGAAAAAAUCAACUAUGUCAAAAAUUGGUAUUAAAUGGGAGAAAUGUGAGCAACUACUACAUAGGCAUAAACAUCAUAAUUUAGCUUCACAUAUUGAACCAAAUAGAAUUCGAGUCACCAAACUCUAACAAUAAGAAAUAGAAAAAAAAAAAACAUAUCAUCCCAAGAAAUAGCAAAAUAAAAAUGGGUACAAAUUUUGAAAUUACAUAGAGCAAUGUGAAAAAUCCUUCUAAGAGCAUAAAAUAGAGAAAUAAGAAUCCAUCAAUUUAAUAUUCUCUUUUUCAAACAUAGAACAAAAAUUAUGAUUCAAACUUUCAAUUCAUUUCCAUUCUUUUCCCACACUUUCUCAAAAACCAAACAAAAUAAAGAAAAAAAAUAAAAAAAAAGGAUACAAUAUAAUGGUGCAAUACAUAUAAAUAUGGAGCUACUAAAUUCCAAAUAGCACUAAAAAGAAAUCUAUGGGAAAUGGAAAAUUUGAAAAUAAAUAUGAAAAAAUAAAUUACCAAAAAAAUGAAUAUGAAUUUGAAACUAGGGUUAGCGCAAAGAAGAAAAUUUUAUGAUUGAUGAGUUGAUAAAGGGGAGAUAAAAUCAUUCAUUGCUUCCAUGCAUGUGAAGCCACAAAAUCAAAUGGUUUUGGCUUUGCCAACAAGAGAUUACAUGGAGAUUUCAAGCAAGAAACAAGAAAGAGGAAUAUGUACAAGCAAAACCUUGAAAUUUAGGGUUUCCUUAACUAGAAAAGAUGAAUCCAAACAAAAUCAAAGACCUUAGUCCUUGAACUUUAGUACCCAAAGUGAGCAUAGGCUUAGUUUUCUUCAUCUUUUGAGAAAGCAGAAAAUGAAUCCGGAGGGAUCAUCUUCUUAAGAAAAUGUAAGGCCUAUCUCUGCUUCUCUCUUAAUGGUGAAUCUCUAAGUUAGAAAAUUUUUGAAUUUGGAAAAUCAGUCCUGGGAAAAAGAUGUCUAAGAAGAGAAGAUGUUUAAAUAAAGGGAGAGGA